rfam:Ciona savignyi cont_37773, whole genome shotgun sequence.
GCUUAUCACCAUUCCAGAUUGAAUAUACCCGAUCUCGUCUGAUCUCGGAAGUCAAGCAAUCUCGGGCUUGGUUAGUACUUGGAUGGGUGACCAUUUGGGAAUACCAAGUGUGAUAAGCA